UACGUACUCCCUCCGUUCGGAAUUACUUGUCGCUGAAAUGGAUGUAUCUAGACGUAUUUUAGUUCUACAUACAUCCAUUUCCGAGACAAGUAAUUCCGAAUGGAGGGAGUAGUUU
rnacentral:pre_miRNA from 1 species